rnacentral:rRNA from 1 species
ACGGGUGAGUAACACGUUGGAACCUGCCCCAAAGUAAGGGAUAAGCCACCGAAAGGUGGUCUAAUACCUUAUAGUAUCCAUCUCGUAUGGAUUAAAGCUUUAUGCGCUUUGGAGGGGCCUGCGUUUGAUUAGCUAGUUGGUGAGGUAAAAGCUCACCAAGGCGACGAUCAAUAGCUGGUUUGAGAGGAUGACCAGCCACACCGGGACUGAGAUACGGCCCAGACUCCUACGGGAGGCAGCAGUAAGGAAUCUUCCACAAUGGGGCAACCCUGAUGGAGCAAUACCGCGUGCAGGAUGAAGCGUUUCGGCGUGUAAACUGCUUUUAUCACCGAAGAUUAUGACUGUAGGUGAAGAAUAAGGACCGGCUAACUACGUG